UACGUAGGGUGCAAGCGUUGUCCGGAAUUAUUGGGCGUAAAGAGCUCGUAGGCGGUUCGUCGCGUCGGCUGUGAAAUCCCGAGGCUCAACCUCGGGUCUGCAGUCGAUACGGGCGGACUGGAGUACUGCAGGGGAGACUGGAAUUCCUGGUGUAGCGGUGAAAUGCGCAGAUAUCAGGAGGAACACCGGUGGCGAAGGCGGGUCUCUGGGCAACAACUGACGCUGAGGAGCGAAAGCGUGGGGAGCGAACAGG
rnacentral:rRNA from 1 species